UCAUAAAACUGGUAAAUUUUUUAAAAAAUUAAACGGCGUCGUUUUCCUUCCAGUGUGAUCAAAAUUCAAAACACAGGCAAGAGCCUGCUAGGCUCCAAAUCGCGCGUACAUGCACAGAUUCACUGCGCUCUCCUCUGCCGACUGUGAUUUCUCUGCUCUUAGCUGCAUCUUCUAUCCACGCUAUCAACAUAAGGACCAACAGCUUCUCUGUUCUUCAUUGAUUUUUCUUUAUGAUUUUAUUCAAUUGAUUAUUGGAAUGUCGAGUUAGAUUGAAUUUGUUUGGAAGAAUCUGAUAUAGUAGUGAAACCGAGUUUGAAUUUAUUGUACGAGGUCGUGAAUUCUUACAGAAGAUGCCAGGGCUUUGGUCGCAGAGUUCGUUCUUGGCGGAAGGAACGUACUCUGUUUUUGGUCACUGCGUUCCCUGUCUUUACAUUGAGAAGGUUCUUAAUUUCUUCCUCUUCUUGUUACAGUUGCUUGUGUUUUUUUUCUUCUUGGAAUUCCUAUUUAUUUAUGGAAUUUUUCUGGUCUUCUUUACUGUUCAAGUUUGUGCUUAUACUGCCAGAACUGCUUCCCAAAGAGAGUUCACUCCAGUCAUAGAUGUGGCAGGGUUCCUCUGAUGACCAGAUUUUUGUUGGUGAUUUUAAAGAAAUCCAGAGGAGAUCCUGUGUGUUCAGACCGGUGCUGAGUUUGUUGUCGGCUGAAAUCGAGCUUUCACCAAUAAAGAAAAAUCUGCUGCCCAUUUGAAGGUUCUAGUCCAUUGAUUUUUUCCCUUGAUUUUUAGUAAUAUAGUCCCUUCUAUCUGUUAUGUAGUGGUUACUACAUGUCCCUUCUAUCUGUUCCUUUGAUGUUGUUGCAGUAUCAGCAACCCAAUUUAAGUGCUUUCUUAGCCAACUUCUAUACAUGAAUAUUAGUAAUUUAUUCCAUGAAAAUUUUGAUUAGUAUCCUUAUUAAGGAAACUGUAAU